UUUCCUAGAUGAAGCUUGCUUUUUGACAAGGACUGUUCUGCAGCUAAAGACAAUCGUCACCAGUUGGGUCAAAAACUUGGAAGGACAGACCCUGAGAAUGGGAAUUGGAUGUGACAAAGUAAUGUGACAUGUGUCAGCAAGGCUUUAGAUAAAGCCGGUCCUGCCCUGAGCUAGAGAAAAGAUUAGAGGAGCUCUCAAAGUCCCUUUCAGCACUGUGAGAAAAAGUGAAAUCCUGACAGCAAGUACAGAAUGUAACUGUUACACAUGGCUAUGGAUGAAAUAUUUAAUAAUACUGAAUAAUUAAUGGUACCACUGCCAGCUGGCUCAGACACUCACAGGAGAUGGGAGAGAUGCCAAAGCCAUUCCCACCCUACCUUCUUUCCCACCUUCCCUACACGUGGGGCAGAAAUACUCAGUGAAGCAGAGACUGCUUGACUGUCAGGAGUGUGACAGGUAUAUGAGAUCUGGUAUGAGUUUUCUGAAGACCAAAGCAUCACAGGAGGGAUAGUCAUCUGGUGAAGAGAGCAGCUGCCUCCUGCAUUCGGGGGAGCAGUAAUCCUGUAGCAUAGCAGACUUUCUGCAACCUUGUUAACAUCAGGCCUUUGCACUCUGCCUAAUGGACUGUUCUUUAUGGACUGACAGUGGGAUUACCUGCUCCAUAGGUGGCAACACCCACCCAGGUGUGCAGGGACUAAGGUCAGGAAGACUUGGCAGGGCAAGAGAGGAUGGAAUGCUGCUGGGAAUACAUCAGACUGCGACGAGGAGAAGGUGGUGUUCUGUUAAUGAAAGAGCUGAGUAAACAGACAUCCUGCUGGGUCAGGGAAAUGUGGCUUAUCCAGAAUAUCCCAGGCUUAGGUUUAAUGAUUUUCAUCCAUUGCCUGCCUCAUUUACAUAUUACAGCAAUUGACUCAGAUCCAGGUGAAAUUCAAAACCAUAGGCUGGUAUUAUUCCAUUCCUCAGGGUUUCCUUGGCAAUCACAUGACAUUUAAUAAAAUAGCUAGAAGUGAAAUAAUCCCACCAUAAUCCCGGAAUAGUCCCAGCAGCUCCAUAACAUUGGAAUGCGGAUCCAUUCCAGGGGAUAUUUCCUUUGCAGUAGGCAGGCACUGGUAUCUAGCAGGUGGGGGAGAAGUGAUGAAAAGGACUUGGCAUUUGAUGUGAAGGCUUAGAGUGUGCUCAGCUCUGCUGUGGUCAGGCUCAUUCUUGAUUGAGGACAAGUGGGUGAAAGUAGUCAAGAAAAGAACUGUUUGCCAGAGUGGUGGUUUCCAGCUCUCCUUACAGGUGCUUCAAAGUAAGCACCCAGGUCUGUCCUUCCUGCUACUGGCACAGGGUUGGACUGGAAAGUGAGCACUUGUCUCACAGAAACUUAGAGUUUUCCAGCACCACCUCCUGAGUGACUUUCAGCUGCUGUGUAGUAUUGUUUAUGGGUUAGAGGAACAAAAUGCCCCUCAAAAUGGCCAAGUUGACCAAAGUCUUCCAGAAUCUGUAGCUAUACAUGACUUUCUCCCUUACCUGAGGCUGCUGGUGGAGUGCAGAGAGCACUGAGAGGUGCCUUGCACUCAGAAGGAUCUUUUCCUUUAGUCCCCAUCCUGGGCAAAUCCACAGCCACCAGGUAGAGCCAUCCCACAGUGACCUGUCAUCGUUUCUGUCAGAGGCUAUUAGGAGUAUUCAGAGCUGUGCUAGUACACAAAAACAUUAAUGAGAGACAUCUGAAAGCACUGAAUCUCCAUCCUAUGGGAAAUGUGGAUAUUUUAGCUGCUUCUUUAAUCUUGAAACAAAAAUGAAGGGAAGAAAGGAAAUAAGAGGAAGGAAAAGUCAUAAGAAUUAACGUUUUUUGUCGGAUGGGAAGUCCCCAGAGAUACGAUUUGAAACCUCAAAUAUGUUAAUUUUCUAUGGAUAAGGAAGUGCUGAUGGCUUUGAUGUGACAAAGCCUCUAGCAGUUGUAGCAUUUGGUGUUUCAAAGGGGUGAUGCAAAAAUGGGAUAGGAGCACAAUAGUGGUGGGGUCAAAUGACUCAUCCACUCCACUUUCCUGCUAUUGGAGGCAUAUGCACUGUAAACCCAGUAGUUGCUUGUACACAUUAAGAUCAAUCUAAAAGUAGAUUUAUUUUCCAAUUUUCCUUUGGAAUGCCUGAUCUUGAAAAUCAUUCCUUUUGGUUUGUAGUAAAAAUAUACUUGUGCACAUUAGCUCUUGUACCAGCAUUGCUCUUUGACUCUUCCUCUUAUGCAAUUUCUGCUCACUAGCAUUCUUUUGGAAGGAAUAAUCGCACUGCCUCUUCACCUCUGGUUUGCUAACUUACACAGGCCAAGCAGGGUACUUUAGUUCUUUCUCACAGUAAACUCUCCAAUUUCCCGAAGCAUCCCUGUAGUUCUUGUUUGUACUAGAUUAUGGAUGACCAGACAUGCAGACAAAGUCUCAUUAGAUCCCUGAUUUCUGGAAUUACUAUUUAUCACUUCAUGUCUAAGUACCUCUCCAAAUUUCUCUCUCCUCAGAGUUCUGCUUUCCUCAGUCAGUGCUGUAGUGGUGACUCCAAGACAUCUUGUGUCUGAGAGCUGCAGAGCUAUGUUGGUUCCCAGCAAUGGGCUGUCCAGUCAAGGUGCAGUUUCUGAGCCUGACUGUUUUGCAUAGAAAUCUCUGUGAAGCAUUUUUGUCCCAUUUUCCUUGUUCUAGCCUCUGAGAUCAACUGAUCCUUCCUGUAUAUGUUACAGUUACAUGAAAACUGGCACUUUCCCAUGUAUGCGUUCAAUUAAACCUAUGUUUC
ensembl:lncRNA